GCAACUCUACCGCUGUGCCACCCGUAUAUGGAAUGAUACAGAGAGGAUUAGCAUGGCACCUGUGUAAGGAUGACAAGCAAAUUCAUAAGGGUUCCAUAUUCAA